UACGGAGGAUCCAAGCGUUAUCCGGAUUUAUUGGGUUUAAAGGGUGCGUAGGCGGCUUUUUAAGUCAGGGGUGAAAACUUGCGGCUCAACCGUAAGCUUGCCUUUGAUACUGAGGAGCUUGAAUACACUUGAGGUAGGGCGGAAUGUGACAAGUAGCGGUGAAAUGCAUAGAUAUGUCACAGAACACCAAUUGCGAAGGCAGCUUACUAAAGUGAGAUUGACGCUGAGGCACGAAAGCGUGGGGAUCAAACAGG
rnacentral:rRNA from 1 species